rnacentral:lncRNA from 1 species
CUGCUAACUAUGUAUCAGGCACUGUUCUAAGUCCUUCUUAUGUACUAACUCAUCUAACCAGCAGAAAAACAUUUUUGGACUAGUCCUUCACUAAAAUAGCCCAGUGAGAAACCGUACUUUUUUUUUUUUCUCAGUUGGUGACAUUGCAACCCGAAAUCACAACUCCGUUUUAGGUUCCUGGUGGUGCCUGCUUCCUCUUCUAGUUUGUUUAGUCACAGAAUUCGAUUCCUGUUGGCCGGUUACGCGCCUACAAACAGGCUUAGCGCUCUAUUGAAAUGCGUGAGGCUCCUUAACUCUUGUAUAAACAGAAACCAGCUGUAACUUUAGGUCAGGGCGCAUUAAAAUGAGCCGCUUCUGAACGAGCAGCGCCCAGGCCCCAGGCCCUGCUGCGAAGGCCCCGGCAAAGGUCAGGGUUUCGGCCGCGUGACGUUCUUUCCUGCGCCCGUCCAAGCGCUGCUGUGCCUCAGCUCAGGUGACAGGCGUUUGGGGGACACCUUGCAUCGGGUCACCCGAAAGAGAUCAGCCCUUCCUGGGCUCACUGAGGAGGUUUGGUAAGUCAGGCUGGCUUCAUUUCACCAUGGCUCAAAUGAACAUAAUCCAGGGGUGGAAAAAAGUAGGUGAC